CACUAUCGAGCCGCCUGUGACCGCCAAGAGAACUUCGACGCAGACUAAUCAGCAAAGAGACAUUUAAUAUCUCAGUCGCAAUUGGCUAAUCUCUCCAGCCAAUUGCAUCUGCGCCAUUUCCGGUCUGUUAAGAAUCUCUUAAAAGACUGGAAUGUUGUCCUUUACGCGAGUUUCUAGUCAGGCCCGCUAAAUCGCCGACAGGGGGCGUUCCAGCCUCGAAGAGAUGAAGCACGUGGGCCUGUCUUUAGACGCUAGAGAGGAGAUAAUCCUGGACUCUCCACAGAUAUAUAUUUUUUCCUUUCCUUGCCUAGUUUAUCAAUGCCUCACAGCCUCUGAGGAUGCCUGCCAUAGAUGUGGGUGAAACGUCAGGAGAGAAUACUUCUGGAACAUGGCCACACAGCCCGAAAGACAUACAACAACCCAUAGCAGAGGAAAGACUGUAUUCCCUUCCCAAUCAAGCCUGGCUUGUGGUCAUUUACAUUCGUGUAAGUAUAUAACUGAGAGUAAACCACACUGAGGCCCCUUCCACACCGCUGAAUAAAACCCCACAUUAUCCGCUUUGAACUGGGUUAUAUAGCAGUGUAGACCCAGUUCAAAGCAGAUAAUGGUGGGAUUUUCUGGGUUGUAUGGCUGCGUGGAAAGGCCCUGGGACCUGCUGGUCUUUGCCUUUGUUUCUCAUCAAGAUUUUUUUAUUGAGAGAAUGAACAGUAUCUUUCCACCAUGUCUCCUGUAUCAAUUUAAUGAUAUAAUCAUAUAUAAUAAUAUUAUAUAUAUUAUACUAAUAUUAUAAUAUAUUGUAUAUACAUGUACAGUAGAGUCUUACUUAUCCAACAUAAACGGGCCGGCAGAACAUUGGAUAAGCGAAUAUGUUGGAUAAUAAGGAGGGAUUAAGGAAAAGCCUAUUAAACAUCAAAUUAGGUUAUUUUUUUACAAAUUAAGCACCAAAACAUCAUGUUAUACAACAAAUAUGACAGAAAAAGUAGUUCAAUAUGCAGUAAUGCUAUGUUGUAAUUACUGUAUUUACGAAUUUAGCACCAAAAUAUCACGAUGUAUUGAAAACAUUGACUACAGAACGUUGGAUAAGUGAGUGUUGAAUAAGUGAGACUCUACUGUAAUAUUAAUAUUAUGAUGUAAUACAAUGUAAUAAUAAUUAUAAUUCACUAUUAUAAUUGUAUAUUUAUAUUACAUGCAAUAUUACUAAUAAUAUUGCAAUAUAGUCGUAUAACAUAUAUUGUAUGUAUACUUGUAAACCGCCCUGGGUUCCCUUUGGGGUGAGAAGGGUGGGAUAUAAAUGUCGCUAAUAAAUAAAUAAACAAACAGUAGUGGGGGAAAAUGGGCAACCUUGUCUCAUUUUUUUCUGGGUUUUGUAUGAGUUUGUUAAAUCUUCAUUUACUAGGAUUGUUGCAUACAGAGUGUUGUUGAUUCACUUUUUCCAUGAUAUGUAGGCCCCUUCUACACUGCCAUAUAAAAUCUAGAUUAUCCGCUUUGAAGCCAAUUAUAUGGCUCAUACAAUCCAGUUCAAAGAAUAUAAUGUGGAUUAUCUGAUUUGCUAAUCUGGAUUAUAUGGCAGUGUAGAAAGGGCCUGAAUCUACACUGCCAUAUAAUCUAGUUCAAAGCAGAUAAUCUGGAUUUUAUAUGGCAGUAUAGAAGGGGCUGUCGUUGAUCUCGAUAUUCAUCUUUCCCAUUAUGGAUAUAAAACAUCCCCAGUUCAGGUUGUCAAAGGCUUUCUCUGCAUUCAGGAAGAUUAGCACUGCUUGCUCUUUGAUAUGGUGUUCUAAAUAUUCUAUGAUAUUAUCUGUACCUUCCCUCAUGUUAUUUCUCAAUUGCAUUUUAGGUAGAAAGUCAUUUUGAUCUCAAUGAAUUCAUUCUUGAAGCAGAUGAGUUGUGUGUUUUCCGGGCAGUAUGGCCAUGUUCCAGAAGUAUUCUCUCCAGAUGUUUUGCCCACAUCUAUGGCAGGCAUCCUCAAAGGUGUUGAGGUAUGCCUGCCAUAAUGUGGGCGAAACGUCAGGAGAGAAUACUUCUGGAACAUGGCCAUACUGCCCGGAGAACACACAACAACCCUGUGAUCCCGGCCAUGAAAGCCUUCGACAACAUAGCUUUUUGAGUCUUUCUGCUAUCUUCAUCUCAAGCUUGGUUGGUGGGAAGGAGAGCCGCUCUCCCUUUUUAUUCAGUCAGACUUUUAAAGAUGAAGAUGUUUAAGAUCUAGUCAGGGGGUGCAGUGAUUUUUAACUUGGAAUGUUGUUUGAUUGAUUUUAACUGAAUUUUUAGUGCUUUGUGUUUAAUUUUGUUUUAAUUUUUGUAGUAUCCAUCAUCAUUUAGAGUGCCUCAAGUUGCCUUGCUCUGGCAUAAAGGGUUACUUGUGUUAGUCAGUGACAAAAAAGAGCCAUUAAUUCGUGGUCUUAAGUGUGGGGUUCCUUCUACAGUAUAUCCUUGACUUAUCCACUUCCUCUAUCUUCCUGAGGAUAACAGUGGGUUGAAGAGGCACAAACACGAGGGCAGCAGGAAGAGAGGCUGCAUAACGAAGAUGGAGCCAACAUAACCCCCAACUGUGGCAAGAAUAAAAGGACAUUGCUGAUGUUAGGUGAUUUAUUGCUCAGGGGGUGUAGAAGAAACUGUGUACCAGCCAGACAUGAAUUGGGAAGUGUAUGUCUUCUAGAAAGUGGCUGACGCGUUGCCAAAGCUCAACAACCACACAUAGCAGUUCCCCUUUCUUCUGGGAAACAUCUUUGAGCAGAUCACCUUGGGCUAUGAAGAUCUGGGCAGGAAAGCAAAGAGUUUAGAGUUACAGGUGUUAUUCUUGGCAAUUCUACCAGCAAAAGGUCAAAGACAACAGAGGCACAGGAAUAUAUUGAAGAUGAUUGAAAAACUACACUGAUGGUAUAGAGGUGUAGACCAGAGAGGAUCGCCUUCCAAGACCUUUGUUUUAAUUUCUUUGUAUGAGUUUCCUUAUCAAGGUAUCGGAGAACUUUUUGAAGUGUUCACAUGGCAUCUUAAACUAUCAGUUCCAAUACAUCUGCAGCUUUCAACCUGCCCUUAGUUGUCUCUGUACUAUGGGCAUGUUAGCUUUGCAGAAAGAGCAUUUGAUUGAGGAAGCCGAGGCAGGACUGUAAAAAGUAACAGCAGCUCCAUGUGCAAUGUUCCUCUGACACAAAUACUACUGUUGCUACGGAGAUAAUGAUCAUCCCAAUGUCAUUAUCCAUCUAUCAACAGUGAGAAUAAAUUUGCUAUGAGAUAUUGUUUAGCAAAUUGAGUAUUUUGCUGAACACUAGAAACAGCUACAUUUGUAUAUUCUCUAAACCUAAUUGUAUAUCAGAAUAUUUUAUGAACAGAGCAUGCCAAAGUUAAUAACAGUUGUCCUUUUAUAUGUAUUUGUCUUUUCAGAUGAAGUAACACUCAGGCCAUUUUUUUGGCCCAUAAUGGAGCACUGUGUACCACAACUGCAACAAAAUGAAGCCCUACAGCCUUAAUGUUGCUUUUCUCUCUUUUAAAAAACAUACAACCUGAACAGGUAUUAUCAUGGCUUUGCAAAGACUGUUGUUAGAUUCACCUCCAAGAAAAAAAAAUGAUUGUGCUGUGUUCAGAAAUCUUGGGAGAAAUAUGGUGUCCAACUCAACAAAAAUAAAAAAGAAGUGAGACCAGAGAAAGUUGUAUUGCAAAAUCAUGAACACAUCUAGAUGAACACUGUUAUAUAUUAUUUGUAACUUUGAAUUACUGUAUAUAUGUACAGUUAGACGUCAUGUAUAAGUCAUGUAUAAAAUUAUGAAUUUUGAUAAGACCCCAUGGAUAAGUUGAGGGUUACUCUACAGAGAGGGGAAAAAACCUACCGUAUGCUGCCUCAGGGACCACCCACCCUUGGCCCUAUAUUUACUUGUCCGGACAUUUUAAAAGACCAGAAGUGGACCUACGUUGGAGAAAGAGCAAGGAAAUCAAUGUUUCUUUUAGGUUCUCUCACUAUGGACUACAUUUGCACUUUUUGCCACUCCACUCAGAGGAGGGGUUGAUAAGAGUUAAAGUACUGUAUUCACAUUGACAUGUGCAUAAAUCAGCCUGUGUUUUUCGGGAGGAUUUCCGUACCAAAAUAUCUAGACUUAUGUAUGAGUACAUAGGGUAGGACAUUUAUACUAUGCUAGAAAUGAUAAACAUGCCAUGAAUAGAUAACUUUUUGGAUACAACAACUAAAUGUUCUAAAAUAUCAGAACAACUUUGAAAGAAGCUUGUAAUUGCAACAGAUCAGCCAUAAUGGUUAUACAAUAUGUUUCAAAAAGAUUAGCCUAAUUUUAAAUUGCUAUAUCUUGACAACUACAAACCACUAAUGAAUGAAAGUCUUACCACUCAUAGAGUUUCAGAUGAUUACCGCUAGAUGGCCCUCCCAGUACACAAAUAGCCCCUAUUUGUCAUUCACAUGAGGGGCACACUGCAACAUAAGAAUUAAUAAAAUAUUCUCCAUUUGUGGAGUUAUUUUUUAGAUGUUUUUCUGGCUCAAAAUGGUUGGUAAAACUUGGUAACACAUUAAACCAUUUAAAAAUCACAUAACUUUAUACAGACCCAUUCAUUUUGUGUAUUGACUUAUAUCCCAUUUUUUUACCUAAUGGGAUGUGCCAAAGGUCUUUUCUUAUGCUCUAAAAUAUGGGGAUCCAAGUAAUUGCUGUCAAGUGAGCCUGACAUCAAUACCAGGAAAUAUUGUAGAGCAGAUCGUUGAACAAAUAGUCUGCAAGUAUCUACAGAGGAAUGUCAUGAUCAUUAAAACUCAUAAUGGUUUUUUUUACAAACAAAAAGUCAUGCCAGAUUAAUCCUAGCUUUUUUUAAAAAGGUGAUAAGUUUGGUUGAUAGAGGGAACGCUGUGGAUGUAGAAUGCCUUGAUUUCAGUAAGUCUCCCAUUUUUAUUCUUGCAAACAAGCUAGUAAAAUAUGAGCUAGACAGUUCUAUGGGUAACUGGAUUGGUAAUGGGUUGAUCAGGCAAACCUAAAGUGUUUACUCUUGGCUCCUCUUCAUCCUGGAGAGAAGUGACCAAGAGGAUGCCACAAGGUUCCGUCCUGGGCCCAGUACUAUUCAACAUCUUCAUCAAUGCCAGAAUAGAAGGCAGGAUGUUUAAAUAUUUAAAUAUUUGAAAGGAUGUCUCAUUGAGGAGGCAAUCUUGUUUUCUGCUGCACUAAAGAUUAGGACACAAAGCGAUGGUUUUCAAAUUGCAGGAAAAGUGAUUCCACCUAAACACUACAAAGAACUUCCUGACAGAGCUGUUCAGCAGUGGAACUCACUGCUACAGAGUGUGGUGGAAGCUCCUUCUCUGGGGGUUUUUAAGCAGAGGCUGGAUGAGUAUCUGUCGGGAGUGCUUUGAUUGUGCUUUUCCUGCAUGGCAGGGGGUUGGACUGAAGGGCUGCUAUGGUCUCUAAUGUCUAUGAUUCUAACGCAACUAACCAAGUAAAUGUAUCCCGUGUCCCUUGCUUCUCUGCCCAUUGGCAGGACAGCAGCCCUGGCAGUGAGGAACCAUAUGAUCCCCCCCCCCACACACACACACACACACACUUUUAACAGACAUGGGCAAAGCUUGUUUUCAGCAGGAAUUUAUCAGAAAUAAAUGCUUUAUUCAUUACCAGAUAACUUGGCUUUUGUAGGCAGCAUAAGUCUGCAAGUGACAUGAAGAUGCAUAUAUACAUUUUUCAAUGCACAGUAGAGUCUCGCUUAUCAAACCUCCGCUUGUCCAAGGUUCUGAAUUAUCCAACACAGUUUGCCUUUUAGUAGUCAAUGUUUUUAUAGUCAAUUUUUCAAUAAAUUGCGAAAAUUUGGUGCUAAAUUCAUAAAUACAGUAAUCAUUACAUAACGUUAUCAUGUACUGAACUGCUUUUUCUAUACAUUUGUUGUAAAGCAUGAUGUUUUGGUGCUUAAUUUGUAAAAUGAUAACAUAAUUUGAUGUUUAAUAGGGUUUUCCUUAAUCCCUCCUUGUUAUCCAACAUUUUUGCAUAUCCAAUGUUCUGCCAGCUCGUUUAUGUUGGAUAAGUGAGACUUUACUGUAUUACAAACCAGGGGAGGGGGCACUGGAAUUAAGAAUUAACAGUAAUACAUAUUAGUAUUUCAAUUACAUUUAUAUUCUCAAAAACAACUAUGUUGCCUAAAAUUAUGGCAACCAGAACAUAAGCUAUUGUUGUCUAAAAACAGUUCUGAGAAUGUAGAGGUUCAGCUACAAAGUAGACAAAACUAUGACUGCUUGCUACAUAUAGCACAAAUUAAAAUCAGAAAAAAAUGCACAAGCCUGGGAAAACAUUCUGGAGAUGCCGGGGAUUGAACCCGGGACCUCACACAUGCGAAGCGCGCGCUCUACCACUGAGCUACAUCCCCCAGCUGUCUGUGGUUGCUCAGUGACCUUUAUGUAUUCACCAUAUAUGCAUGCUUCAGGGAAAAAAAAACAUUUAAUUGAUUAUUGUGUAUCUAUUACACAUGAAAUAUGAAGGAAAUCAGUACAACCAAGCACCACACACUAUGAUAAUUGCAGGCUAAAGACAAUACCAGAAAAAGAAGCCACUGGCUGAAUUUAUCUCAAAGAUCAUGCUGCAUUUCACAAAGAGGUAGGCUUUGAGGGAAAAAAAUCAAUUCUUAAUUUUCUUUGUGUUGACAUGACAUCUCCCAUAUCUAAGGCUCUUAAAGAGAAAGUUAUUAAUUUCCAUUGGCUUUAUGAUAUAAAAAGCAAAAAAAAAUCACUACCAAUGUUUUUGAAACUAUUCUGCUUGUUCCCACUGUAAAAUGCAAUAGUCUCUAUUUGUUCCCCUCACGUAAAUGUCUAUAAUUGAUUUCAAAUGUCUUAUUUCACAUAUAAACUAUGAUAACACAGUUAGUACAAUAGGACAGAUGAUACAAACUUUAAAUGUGAAAAUACAAAAACAAUAUGUAAAAAAGUUCAAGUGUAACAGACAUAUCAAUUACUUGAAAGAAUCAGAAAAAGGAUGUAUUGAUAUUUUAAUAUACCCCCUUUUCUUGCACAAAAUUACUAAUUUAAUACUGGCAGGCAGUUCCUGGGUUACAGGCAAGAUAGGUUCUGUAGGUUUGUUCUCAAGUUGAAUUUGUAUGUAACUCAGAACAUAAGUGUAAUUCCAGCCUGCAGCCCCCACUUUAAAAAAAAGUUUGGGAAGGGGUAACACUUCUGUAACAUGUAUUUUGUUGUCUGUCCUGUUGUUUUGAAGAUUUCGCUUUAUGUCCUUAUGACAAUUGGUUUUUGAAAAUUUUGGCUUGUUGUGGGAACAAGGAUUGGUGAUAAAGCUUCAGUUGCAGAUAAAUGAUUUAGGGAUUAACAGGUGUUCCUUUGAUUGGUUAUUUUACAGAAUACAGUAAUACUUUCAAGGAUCAGUAUUUUAGGGUACUGGAGAAACUUUCUUUCCAGAAUGCUGUAACUUUGUUGAUGUGGGCUUUAGAUAUUGAAUGUUGUGUUUUGUGGGUUGUUUUUUUUUUUUAUGUCAGGAGCGACUUGAGAAACUGUAAAUCGCUUCUGGUGUUAGAUAAUUGGCUGUCUGAAAGGAUGUUGCCCAGGGGAUGCCUAGAUGUUUUGAUGCUUUACCCUCCUUGUAGGAGACUUCUCUCAUGUCCCUGUAUGGGGAGCUAGAGCUGACAGAGGGAGUUAACCCACUCUGCGUGCUAGUGUACUACAGUUUAUUUUAAUGUACUGAUAUGAUUUUAAUUAUUUUAAACUGAUUUUAAUAUAUGGUGUAUAUUGUAUUUGUAUGUUACGUUUGUCUAUGAGAUUGAAUUAUUGCCAACCUGGAAGCCGCUCUGAGAUCUCUUCGGGGUGAGAUAGAGUGGGGUAAAAAUACAGUAAAUAAAUAAAUAAAAUAAAUACUCACCAUGGUCAAAUGUAGAUUUUGACUUUAUCUCCUUAGUUUAGAGUGAAGGAUCCUGUGUAUUAUUUAAGUUCUUUCUCUCUCUACUUCCAAGUUGUUAUUAUUAGAAUGACCUUAAUAAACAAAGAAAAAAUUCAGAUAUAUAAAGUUUUAUCUCUUACUCUGGAGCCCCUGGUGGCAAAAUGGGUUAAACCCUUGUGCCGGCAGGAUUGCUGACCAAAACAUCGGUGGUUCAAAUCCAGGGAGUGAGGUGAGCUCCCAUCUGUCAGCUCCAGCUUCCCUUGUGGGGACAUAAGAGAAACCUCCCACAGGAUGGUAAAAUAAACAUCUGGGCGUCCCCUGGGCAACGUCUGUCCCCUGGGCAAUGUCCUUGCAGACAGCCAAUUCUCUCACACCAGAAGCAACUUGCAGUUUCUGAAGUUGUUCCUGCCAUGAAAAAAAAAUCUCUUACUCUGAAUUAUUCCACAAAUAACCUUUGGCAUCAUAUCUUUUAAAACUCCUUGCAGGUUGAUUUUCAGAGUGCUGUAUAAAGAGUACUGUUUUACAUGUGUGUGGCUUUGUUUAAUUUACUAAAUUCUCAAUUAAUUUAUUCUGUAUAAAAUGUAAAUGGAACAUAUGUUGUACACCUUCAAGUCCUUUCUGACUAAGGCUAACCUGUCAUGGGGAAUGUCAUUGCUUUUAUCUGAUGCCAUGCGUGAGACUUGUCCAAGGUUACCCAGUGGGUUUUCAUGACCCAGCAGGGAUUUGAUCCCUAGCCUCCAGAGUCCUGCCAAACCACUACCUCAUGCAGGCUCACAAAUAGCUGCAUAUAUGUACAGCCAAUGUUUGCAUUUUUUAAAUCUGUAUCUUGCUCAUAGUUAUUAUAGUUAUUGUUGCAUAGAUUGUCCCGCUUGUAUUUUCACAGUCCUUGAAGACUAUUCACAAUAUUCUGCAAAACCCUUUUCCAGGUAGACUCUGCAGUUUCAACCCUUGGCACUCACCUUGGCCUUUUACCUUCAAGAUACCAACCUAGAUCGUGUCAGGCCUCGGAAUGAUCCCUAUUAUGGACAAAUGGCUGUAAUAUUUAGUGGGUUCAUUGUGAUAAGCAAGGCCAGUCUCUUUAUCUAUCUACUUCAGUAGGAGAAAAUAAAGAAAUAAAGAUUUAUAACAAUUAGUUUAAAAAGAGGUAUUGAGAGAGAUGAAACUUUAAAAUAAGUAAAUAAGAGAAAGUAAGUAAAUCUUCAUGGCAUAGCAUUGCUUAGUUUAAAUGGUGUAGCUGGUAAGGAAAGCCAAAAGGAUUACCUCAUUGCCACUUGUUUUAAAAGGUUUUGUUUUUGCCUGUAUCUUCAUCUUUUAUGACUUAUAUUAUUUGUUCCAGCAUAUAAAAGGGAUGGGAGACAAAGGAGAGUGGGACCAGUCUGUUUAAAGAGAUAGUUGCCUUGUCUGGCCAGUACAAAUAAAGGCUUGUUUUAUUUUAUUUUUAA